rnacentral:ncRNA from 1 species
CCAGAGUCCGCCCACCUGGACUCCCGGACGAGGGGUGCCGUACCCGGAACGCGACAAGACGGCCCGAG